GACGAACGCUGGCGGCGUGCUUAACACAUGCAAGUCGAACGGAAAGGCCCUGCUUGCGUGGGAUGCGCGAGGGGCAAACGGGAGAGUAACACGUGAGUAACCUGCCCUUGACUUGGGGAUAACUUCAGGAAACUGUGGCUAAUACCGGAGAAGCCAUCCUGCUGCAUGGGGGGGGUUGGAUAGUUUCGGCGGGUGGGGAUGGACGCGCGGCUUGUCAGCUGGUGGGGGGGUGAGCGCCUUACCAAGCCUCUGACGGGCAGCCGGCUUGGGAGGGUGACCGGCCCCAUUGGGACUGGGAUCCGGCCCGGCUUCCACCGGGGGGCAGCAGUGGGAAAUAUUCCCAAAUGGGCGGAGGCUGAAGGCGGCAACCCCGCGUGUGGGAUGCCGGCCUUCGGUUGUUAACCCGCUUUCGCCUGUGACGAAGCGUUAGUGACGGUAACGGGUAAAGAAGCACCGGCUAACUACGUG
rnacentral:rRNA from 1 species